rnacentral:rRNA from 1 species
UGGGGAAUUUUGGACAAUGGGCGAAAGCCUGAUCCAGCAAUGCCGCGUGUGUGAAGAAGGCCUUCGGGUUGUAAAGCACUUUUGUCCGGAAAGAAAUCCUUGGCUCUAAUACAGUCGGGGGAUGACGGUACCGGAAGAAUAAGCACCGGCUAACUACGUGCCAGCAGCCGCGGUAAUACGUAGGGUGCAAGCGUUAAUCGGAAUUACUGGGCGUAAAGCGUGCGCAGGCGGUUUGCUAAGACCGAUGUGAAAUCCCCGGGCUCAACCUGGGAACUGCAUUGGUGACUGGCAGGCUAGAGUAUGGCAGAGGGGGGUAGAAUUCCACGUGUAGCAGUGAAAUGCGUAGAGAUGUGGAGGAAUACCGAUGGCGAAGGCAGCCCCCUGGGCCAAAUACUGACGCUCAUGCACGAAAGCGUGGGGAGCAAACAGGAUUAGAUACCCUGGUAGUCCACGCCCUAAAACGAUGUCAACUAGUUGUUGGGGAUUCAUUUCCUUAGUAACGUAGCUAACGCGUGAAGUUGACCGCCUGGGGAGUACGGUCGCAAGAUUAAAACUCAAAUGAAUUGACGGGG